rnacentral:rRNA from 1 species
GACAUCCCGAUCGCACUUUCUAGGAAACAGAGAGGUCAGUUCGGCUGGAUCGGUGACAGGUGCUGCAUGGCUGUCGUCAGCUCGUGUCGUGAGAUGUUGGGUUAAGUCCCGCAACGAGCGCAACCCUCGUCCUUAGUUGCCAGCAUUAAGUUGGGCACUCUAAGGAGACUGCCGGUGUUAAACCGGAGGAAGGCGGGGAUGACGUCAAGUCAUCAUGGCCCUUAUGUCCAGGGCGACACACGUGCUACAAUGGCCGGCACAGCGGGAAGCGGAGGGGCGACCCUGAGCGGAUCCCUUAGAAAGCCGGUCCCAGUUCGGAUUGCAGUCUGCAACUCGACUGCAUGAAGUUGGAAUCGCUAGUAAUCGCGGAUCAGCCAAGCCGCGGUGAAUACGUUCCCGGGCCUU